UACGAAGGGGGCUAGCGUUGCUCGGAAUCACUGGGCGUAAAGCGCACGUAGGCGGAUUCUUAAGUCAGGGGUGAAAUCCUGGAGCUCAACUCCAGAACUGCCUUUGAUACUGAGGGUCUUGAGUUCGGGAGAGGUGAGUGGAACUGCGAGUGUAGAGGUGAAAUGCGCAGAUAUCGGGAAGAACACCCGUGGCGAAGGCGGCUCUCUGGGACGGUACUGACGCUGAGACGCGAAAGCGUGGGGAGCGAACAGG
rnacentral:rRNA from 1 species